UGGGGAAUUUUCCGCAAUGGGCGAAAGCCUGACGGAGUGACGCCGCGUGGGGGACGAAGGCCUUCGGGUUGUAAACCCCUGUCAGAGGGAAAGAAGGGUCGCUGGGUUAAUACCCCGGUGAUCUGACGGUACCUUCAGAGGAAGCCCCGGCCAACUCUGUGCCAGCAGCCGCGGUAAGACAGAGGGGGCAAGCGUUGCUCGGAAUCACUGGGCGUAAAGGGCGCGUAGGCGGGUCCGCAAGUCGAUCGUGAAAUCCUUCGGCUCAACUGAAGGGGGUCGGUCGAUACUGCGGGUCUUGAGGGAUGCAGAGGAGACUGGAAUUCCCGGUGUAGCGGUGAAAUGUGUAGAGAUCGGGAGGAACACCGGUGGCGAAGGCGGGUCUCUGGGCAUCUCCUGACGCUGAGGCGCGAAAGCGUGGGGAGCAAACGGGAUUAGAUACCCCCGUAGUCC
rnacentral:rRNA from 1 species